UACGAACUGUGCAAACGUUAUUCGGAAUCACUGGGCUUAAAGGGUGCGUAGGCGGUCAUUUAGGUAGGGCGUGAAAGCCCCCGGCUCAACCGGGGAAUUGCGCCCUAAACCGGGUGACUGGAGUGAGAUAGGGGUGUGUGGAACUUCCGGUGGAGCGGUGAAAUGUGUUGAUAUCGGAAGGAACGCCGGUGGCGAAAGCGACACACUGGGUCUCAACUGACGCUGAGGCACGAAAGCCAGGGGAGCAAACGGG
rnacentral:rRNA from 1 species